UAGGGAAUCUUCGGCAAUGGACGAAAGUCUGACCGAGCAACGCCGCGUGAGUGAAGAAGGUUUUCGGAUCGUAAAACUCUGUUGUUAGAGAAGAACAAGGACGUUAGUAACUGAACGUCCCCUGACGGUAUCUAACCAGAAAGCCACGGCUAACUACGUGCCAGCAGCCGCGGUAAUACGUAGGUGGCAAGCGUUGUCCGGAUUUAUUGGGCGUAAAGCGAGCGCAGGCGGUUUCUUAAGUCUGAUGUGAAAGCCCGCGGCUCAACCGGGGAGGGUCAGUGGAAACUGGGAGACUUGAGUGCAGAAGAGGAGGGUGGAAUUCCAUGGGUAGCGGUGAAAUGCGUAGAUAUAUGGAGGAACACCAGUGGCGAAGGCGGCUCUGUGGUCUGUAACUGACGAUGAGGCUCGAAAGCGUGGGGAGCAAACAGG
rnacentral:rRNA from 1 species